AGAGUUUGAUCCUGGCUCAGAUUGAACGCUGGCGGCAUGCUUUACACAUGCAAGUCGAGCGGCAGCACGGGGGCAACCCUGGUGGCGAGUGGCGAACGGGUGAGUAAUGCAUCGGAACGUAUCCUUAAGUGGGGGAUAACGCAUCGAAAGAUGCGCUAAUACCGCAUAAUCUCCGAGGAGAAAAGCAGGGGAUCGCAAGACCUUGCGCUUUUGGAGCGGCCGAUGUCUGAUUAGCUAGUUGGUGAGGUAAAGGCUUACCAAGGCUUCGAUCAGUAGCUGGUCUGAGAGGACGACCAGCCACACUGGGACUGAGACACGGCCCAGACUCCUACGGGAGGCAGCAGUGGGGAAUUUUGGACAAUGGGGGAAACCCUGAUCCAGCCAUGCCGCGUGAGUGAAGAAGGCCUUCGGGUUGUAAAGCUCUUUCAGCCGGAACGAAAAGGUUACGGUUAAUACCUGUGACUAAUGACGGUACCGAAGA
rnacentral:rRNA from 1 species